GGCCCAGGCUUACAGCUGUGACCUUGUUCUUGAGAUCUCAGGAGACUGCAUAACACCCACGCACAUCCCAAAGGAGGCAACCAAGGUAGAUCUCCAAAGACCAAAGCCCCAGCGAGCAAGGGAGGGCCGGCCACUUCCCACCUCCAGCCGCCCUCUGUGUUGCCUGCUAAGGCCUCCUCCAGGGCCGCCUCUGCUGCAGAACCCGCGGGGAAGCAGCGCACACAAUGGCGUGCCUGCCUUGGGGCUUCUGGCUGCUCUGGGCACCCUCAGCGCAGUGUGGGGUAGGGAGGCCUCAAGCAAGUUUGAGGCCUUGGUGGGCCCUCCUUUGCCCCCAGAGCACUCGUCUUGGACAGAAGCAGGAACUAGGGAGGAGGUUUGCCUCCCGUGCCGACUUCUCCUGCAGGUAUGGCUGCAGGGCCUCCCCGAGAAGAGAGGCCAAGGCCCAGGGCGCCAUUGGCGGCCGGCUCCCCUCCCCCACGCUUCUUUCUCUGCUGCUGCGAGACCGGGGAGGGAGGAGGCAGGCGCCUGUGCAGAUAGAGCCGCUAUUGUGACCUUCCCUCGCAGAGCAGGAACCCAGCCGAGUGUGUACCGCCGGCGGUGGCUGUGGCGGGGGAGGAGGCGACUGUGUGCAAACCUUGGCGGGGAGGGGUUGGCACUGGGAAAUAAAGGUUUGCAACCUCGG